rnacentral:rRNA from 1 species
AGUGAAAUCCUGUAAUCCUUGGGGGACCACCUGUGGCGAAGGCGUCUCACUAGAACGGCUCCGACAGUGAGGGACGAAAGCUGGGGGAGCAAACCGGAUUAGAUACCCGGGUAGUCCCAGCUGUAAACGAUGCGCGUUAGGUGUAUCGGUGACCACGAGUCAUCGAGGUGCCGAAGGGAAACCGUGAAACGUGCCGCCUGGGAAGUACGGUCGCAAGGCCGAAACUUAAAGGAAUUGGCGGGGGAGCACCACAACGGGUGGAGCCUGCGGUUUAAUUGGACUCAACGCCGGGCAGCUCACCGGAUAAGACAGCUGGAUGAUAGCCGGGCUGAAGACUCUGCUUGACUAGCUGAGAGGAGGUGCAUGGCCGUCGUCAGUUCGUACUGUGAAGCAUCCUGUUAAGUCAGGCAACGAGCGAGACCCACGCCAACAGUUGCCAGCAUGUCCUCCGGGAUGAUGGGGACACUGUUGGGACCGCCUCUGCUAAAGAGGAGGAAGGAAUGGGCAACGGUAGGUCAGCAUGCCCCGAAUUAUCCGGGCUACACGCGGGCUACAAUGGUCAGGACAAUGGGUAUCGACACCGAGAGGUGGAGGCAAUCUCCUAAACCUGUCCUUAGUUCGGAUUGUGGGCUGCAACUCGCCCACAUGAAGCUGGAAUCCGUAGUAAUCGCGUUUCAAAAUAGCGCGGUGAAUAUGUCCCUGCUCCUUGCACACACCGCCCGUCAAACCACCCGAGUGGGGUCUUGAUGAGGCUGCGGUUGUCGCCGUGGUCGUAUCUAGGUUCCGCAAGGGGGGUUAAGUCGUAACAAGGUAGCCGUA